rnacentral:rRNA from 1 species
UGAACGCUAGCGGCAGGGUCUUAAGACAUGCAAGUCGAACGGCAAGACUUGUAGCAAUACGAGUCCUAGAGUGGCGUAAGGGUGCGUAACACGUAUGCAAUCUGCCCGCAACAGGAGUAUAGCUCCCCGAAAGGGGAAUUAAUGCUCCAUAGGAAUAUCUGAGGGCAUCUGAGGAUAUUUAAACCUGUAGGGGUUGCGGAUGAGCAAUAGCGCAUGAUUAGUUAGUUGGCAGGGUAACGGCCUACCAAGACGAUGAUCAUUAGGGGAACUGAGAGGUUGAUCCCCCACACUGGCACUGAGAUACGGGCCAGACUCCUACGGGAGGCAGCAGUCGGGAAUAUUGGGCAAUGGGCAAAGCCUGACCCAGCGACGCCGCGUGAGGGAUGAAGGUCUUCGGAUUGUAAACCUCUUUCAGUUAGGGAAGAAGCGAAAGUGACG